rnacentral:rRNA from 1 species
GACGAACGCUGGCGGCGUGCCUAAUACAUGCAAGUCGAACGAGAGCGCCCGGUGCUUGCCCUGGUCAAUCUAGUGGCAAACGGGUGAGUAACACGUGGGUAACCCGCCCAUCAGAGGGGGAUAACAUCCGGAAACGGAUGCUAAAACCGCAUAGGUCUUCGAACCGCAUGGUUUGAAGAGGAAAAGAGGCGCAAGCUUCUGCUGAUGGAUGGACCCGCGGUGCAUUAGCUAGUUGGUGAGGUAACGGCUCACCAAGGCCGUGAUGCAUAGCCGACCUGAGAGGGUGAUCGGCCACAUUGGGACUGAGACACGGCCCAAACUCCUACGGGAGGCAGCAGUAGGGAAUCUUCCGCAAUGGACGCAAGUCUGACGGAGCAACGCCGCGUGAGUGAAGAAGGUUUUCGGAUCGUAAAACUCUGUUGUUAGAGAAGAACAAGUGCUAGAGUAACUGUUAGCGCCUUGACGGUAUCUAACCAGAAAGCCACGGCUAACUACGUG